rnacentral:lncRNA from 1 species
CCCACUACCAGACGGUUACGAACAUCGCUAUCAUCUAUUGCACCCUCCGCCUAUAAAAAGGGGACCCCAGAUACGUUAUUCUCUAAGCUCUAAUUUUUAUCCUAAAAACUCUGCUAAAAUUUUCGUUCGAGCACUCCAUUCUUGUUGAGGCAGAGAACUAACUUGAGCGUCGGAGGAUCUUACCGGAGCAACCCCAACUUUGGUUUAGACUUUCUUUGCAGGUCCCAACGGCGACCGCGACUCUCUCAACUCUAGCUUCUCCGACGCAGGUGG